UACGUAAGUGGCGAGCGUUUAUCCGGAAUUACUGGGCGUAAAGCGUGCGUAGGCGGUUUGGUGUGUGGGAAUUGAAAACCCGGGGCUCAACUCCGGAUCCGGUUCCCAAACUGCCAGACUCGAGCGUAUCAGAGGAGAGCGGAAUUCCCGGUGUAGCGGUAAUAUGCGUAGAUAUCGGGAGGAACACCAGUGGCGAAGGCGGCUCUCUGGGGGUAUUGCUGACGCUGAGGCACGAAAGCCAGGGGAGCGAACGGGG
rnacentral:rRNA from 1 species